GAUUGAACGCUGGCGGCAUGCCUAACACAUGCAAGUCGAACGGGAGUAGCAAUACUCUAGUGGCGGACGGGUGAGGAAUACGUAGGAAUUUGCCCUUAAGUGGGGGAUAACCCGGGGAAACCCGGAUUAAUACCGCAUGACCUCGAAAGAGCAAAGUGGGGGAUCGCAAGACCUCACGCUUUUGGAGAAGCCUACGUCGGAUUAGCUAGUUGGUGAGGUAAUGGCUCACCAAGGCGACGAUCCGUAACUGGUCUGAGAGGAUAAUCAGUCACACCGGAACUGAGACACGGUCCGGACUCCCUACGGGAGGCAGCAGUGGGAAUAGUUGGACAAUGGGCGCAAGCCUGAU
rnacentral:rRNA from 1 species